rnacentral:tRNA from 1 species
GCAUCGGUGGCUCCGUGGUAGAAUUCUUACCUUCUAUGCAGGAGACCCAGGCUCAAUUCCUGGCCAAUGCA